AAGUGUCUGAAGUGAUCACGUGAUCUUGCUUUGGCUUGUAAAAACGGCUCUCAUGCAGUGAGUUGCUUCACUGCCGAAGAGACAAGAAAAGGAGAGAGAGCCCGAGAUAGGGUCUUUUCUUAAUAAUUGGAGCUCGUGCCUUGUAAAAGAGUUCGCUCUUUUGUGUACAUACCACAGACUUAGUAGCACCUUAUCCUCUUACAACACCCUCUAUCUCGCUCUGUUUCUAUCUAACUGGAUCCAAGACUUAAACAAGGAGGAGUAUUUAAA